rnacentral:ncRNA from 1 species
CCGCGCUAAGGUGUCGACAGCGUCAUCGACCAGGAACCCGGUGUGAGUCCGGGACGGUCCCGCCACUGUGAACCAGCCGCACCUCGGGCCGGUGAGUCAGGAACUGCCGGCGGCGCCUCACACCC